rnacentral:rRNA from 1 species
GCCUACGGCCAUACCACCCUUAACACGCCCGAUCUCGUCUGAUCUCGGAAGCUAAGCAGGGUUGGGCCUGGUUAGUACUUGGAUGGGAGACCGCCUGGGAAUACCAGGUGUUGUAGGCU